AUGAACGCUGGCGGCGUGCCUAAUACAUGCAAGUCGAGCGAACAGACGAGGAGCUUGCUCUUCUGACGUUAGCGGCGGACGGGUGAGUAACACGUGGAUAACCUACCUAUAAGACUGGGAUAACUUCGGGAAACCGGAGCUAAUACCGGAUAAUAUAUUGAACCGCAUGGUUCAAUAGUGAAAGACGGUUUUGCUGUCACUUAUAGAUGGAUCCGCGCCGCAUUAGCUAGUUGGUAAGGUAACGGCUUACCAAGGCGACGAUGCGUAGCCGACCUGAGAGGGUGAUCGGCCACACUGGAACUGAGACACGGUCCAGACUCCUACGGGAGGCAGCAGUAGGGAAUCUUCCGCAAUGGGCGAAAGCCUGACGGAGCAACGCCGCGUGAGUGAUGAAGGUCUUCGGAUCGUAAAACUCUGUUAUUAGGGAAGAACAAAUGUGUAAGUAACUAUGCACGUCUUGACGGUACCUAAUCAGAAAGCCACGGCUAACUACGUG
rnacentral:rRNA from 1 species